rnacentral:rRNA from 1 species
CGAACGCUGGCGGCGUGUCUAAUACAUGCAAGUCGAACGAGAAAGCCAAUUUUAGCUUCGGCUAUUUGAGGCGAUUAAAGUGGCGAACGGGUGAGUAACACGUGGGUAAUCUACCUUCGAGUUUGGGAUAAGCCUGGGAAACUGGGUCUAAUACCGGAUAAUACCUCCGGGCGACAUCGCCUGGAGGCCAAAGGCGGGGCAACCUGUCGCUUGAAGAUGAGCCCGCGGUCCAUUAGCUUGAUGGUGGGGUAAUGGCCUACCAUGGCGACGAUGGAUAGCCGGCCUGAGAGGGUGGACGGCCACACUGGGACUGAGAUACGGCCCAGACUCCUACGGGAGGCAGCAGUAGGGAAUAUUGCGCAAUGGACGAAAGUCUGACGCAGCGACGCCGCGUGGGUGAUGAAGCUUCUUGGAGUGUAAAACCCUGUCAGUGGGGAAGAACCGUAAGUGGAGUAACUGCCACUUGCCUGACGGUACCCGCAGAGGAAGCUCCGGCUAACUCC